UUGCCCACGGUUCUCUCUCUCUCUCUCUCACACCGAGAGAAUCAAUCACCACCGCCCCCUCAUCUCAGCAUCGCACAUGACCACACUGUCUGUCAAUCUGCCACCGUCGAACAUCGCCACUGCAGCUCACCAUUGCCUCGCCUCCCAUCGACAUUCAGAUGAAGAAUGGGAAGGAGUUUCUUCUUACAGAUACUACUGGAUUUAUUCAGAAAUUACCAACUACACUGGUUACUACCUUUAGGGCAACCUUGGAGGAAAUUUCUGAGUCAUCCCUUCUGGUGCAUGUGGUGGAUAUUAGGUAUAACUUGGUGAAUUAGUGAAGAGGAUUUAUCUCUGCUUGACAAACACUAUUUUCUCAAAACGUAUUGUUAUCAAGUUCAGCCAUCCACUGGCAGAGCAACAGAUUGAUGUUGUGGACAAGGUUCUAAGUGAACUGGAUGUGGCAUCAAUUCCAAAGUUGAUGGUGUGGAACAAGGGCAGAGAAGAAGAUAAUGAAGCACGGAGAGAGAGGGUUUAUCAAUUCUUCAACUAUUUAUUUACAAUGGUUCUUGUAUUGCAGUCUUGGAGGUCAUAGUGGUUAUUAUGCUUAGUAGAAUCAAUGUUGAGUUGAGAAAUGAAAAUGUUGAUGCCAAUCUAUUGUUUUCCUAUAGAGAAUGGAUCCAACCCCACAAUGGCAGUUGCAGCAACUGCUGCGGGUGAUCAACAAUUGCAACAGACUGUAAAUGUAUCUCAUAAAUAGAAAGAGAAAGAGAAAGAGAAAAAGAAACAUCAAUAGCAAGUAACGACAAUGGUAAUGACAUUGGCAAUGGAAGUGGCAAAGAAAGUCCCCAUUUUCAUGAAGAAAGUGAUUCCAGAAAGAUCUAAAUCAGCACAGCAACAGAGGUUAGUUGCUGCUUCUCAGCUUGUGGCUUCUACUUCCCUCCUUUACUCUGCUGUAGCUGCAAACAAAUGCAUGAAUCUCCUCCUCCAACAACAGCAAAGUGAUACCCAAAGGUACAUAUAUACAUCAUAUAUUCUUUCAUAAUUUAACUCAUAUGUUACUCUCUUGUGAAGUGAUCACUUGUACUUACACUUGGUUUGCUCUACAUGUUGAAGGGUCGGGCUGCCACGACGUUGAUGAUGGGUGAGGAUAUGCACAAAUUCAGUCUAUCCUGGCUUGAUAGGAACGAGUUUCCGAUGAACAGUGGGCUGGAAAUGGUGAACCCUGGUUCAAGACAGAUCUACUUGACUUUUCCAGCUGAUAGCACAUUUAGAGAAGAGGAUGUUUCCAAUUAUUCCAGUAUUUAUGGACCAAUUCAAGAUGUGAGGAUUCUAUAUCAACAAAAGAGAAUGUUUGGGUUUGUUACCUUUGUCUACCCAGAAACUGUUAAGCUCAUUCUUGCUAAAGGGAACCCUCAUUUUGUAUGUGUGAUGCUCA